GACAACGCUGGCGGCGUGCUUAACACAUGCAGGUCGAGCGGAGACAAUUGACUUCGGUUGAUUGUUUUAGCGGCGGACGGGUGAGUAACGCGUGAGCAAUCCUGUCCCAGACAGGGGGAUAACACUUGGAAACAGGUGCUAAUACCGCAUAAGACCACGAGAUCACAUGGUUUCGGGGUAAAAGGAGCAAUCCGGUUUGGGGUGAGCUCGCGUCCGAUUAGCUGGUUGGUGAGGUAAAGGCCCACCAAGGCGACGAUCGGUAGCCGACCUGAGAGGGUGAUCGGCCACAUUGGAACUGAGAAACGGUCCAAACUCC
rnacentral:rRNA from 1 species